AACGUACGCGGCGUGUGUGUUUCUUGCAAACUUAGUACAGCUCAAACUGCAAGAGUUACUUGGCUUCUACAGUUUCCAGUGCUACUUCGCCGUCUUCCAAUACUACUUCACUGCCUACCAAUACUACUUCGCCACCUUCCAAUACUACUACAGCGUCUUCCAAUGUUACCACAGCUCAUACUACUAUAGCUAACAUCACCAAUGCAACUACAAAUGCUCCGCUACAUACAACUACCAUUACUUCAGCAACGACCAGUGUUCCAGGUACGAAUGCUACUGUGACUCCUGCACCUUCUCCACGUAAAUCUACAUUUGAUGCUGCGAGUUUCAUAGGUGGAAUUGUCCUUGUUUUGGGUCUGCAGGCUGUUGUUUUCUUUCUGUUCAAAUUCUGCAAGUCGAAAGACCGAAACUAUCACACACUUUAGGACCUGCCACUUUCUAAUGGACUAGUAGCCCAACACCUGUAGUUCACUGAACCAAAAUGUUUCCUGUUGCUCAUGGAAGACAGCAGUUCGUAAUAUCCUUUAAAUAUCUAAAAGAAGACUUUAAAAGAAUAUUUUUGCAACAUUAUACUUGGCAAGAGGUGAUAUGAAUCUCUUCUACAGGAUUACUUGCAAUAUGCUGCAUGGGUUCUAAUGGCUGUCUUAUUUUUCUUUAGUGGCUGCUGCUGUGGGACUUUUUUUUUAUAUGCCAAGUGUAGACAUUCAGAGAUUCUUAUUAAUAUUCAGUGGCAACACUGUCUUCAGUAGACAAUCUCAUGAUGACUUAUUGUGAAGGCUAAUUUAAUCAACAUUUGAUACAGUAUCCCUUCAGUUUUAUCAAGAUGUAAAUUAUUGGUGACUGACUUCAGGGAGUGAAAUACCAUUUAUACUAGCUUGUGGCACUUACAGCAUGCUGCUAGAAAGAUGAACAAAAUUGUAGAAGUAGAUAAUGUCCCAACGGAAUAACAUAACCCAUACAUUUUUAUACACAAGAAUAAAGGUUGCCUGAUAAAAUACUGCAUUCCAAACAGAAAUCCUAUGCCCUUUCCAAUGAAUGCUAAUGGUGGAGAGGGGAUGUAGGAAUAAUCCUUCUAAAGGGUCAGUGAAAAUUAGUGCCUUAAAAAACUAAAAAUCAGUAGGCUGCAAAAGCGUCCCACCUAUCUCACAGAUAAACAGAACUAUUAAGUACUAGCUUUAUAUGGGAGAAUGGAAUACAUACGACUUCAGCAUUCCAGUUUAAAAACUUUUUACACGAAAUAAAUGUCCCUUAUGGAUCUUGUUUGAGAGGGAGCAUGGUACAGUAAUAUUCAGCCACAAACAGAAGCUUUAAGUUGUUUACCUUCUGCUCUGGCCUACAAAGACCUACUGUAAAACUAGUGACAAAAUUUGGUUCAGUCCCUAUAUAAAAAGGCAACAACUUUCAUUUAUACUUGAAAUACUGGUGUUCGGGAAAUCCUGAUAUUUUCUCAUUCAAAUGGUUCUUAAACUCAUUGCAAUUAGAUUCAGCAUUUUUUGGUUUGUUUUUUUCUUUUUGAUCCUUCUGUAUGUCUACUUGCUAAAGGAGCAGUUAAGGGUAGUCCAGAGAAUCUGCUGAUUUGAUCCUAAUCAGGAUUGCUCUAGUCCCAGGGUUGCCAGGGCUACAUCUUUUUUCUUUUCCCUCCCUACUUUCUGGCAUCAGUGAACUGGUUAAGGAAAUUUAUUUGGCCAAGUAGGUGUUGGUUUUUUUUAGUUUUGUGUGUUGUGUGGUUUUUGUGAUUUUUUUUGUUUGUUUUGUUUUGGUUGUUUUCUGUGGUUUUUGUGUUAUUUUUUUUCCCUUUGGCUGGAUCAGCCUUCUCAAAGGUACGUCUUUCCAAUGUAGAUUGACUUGAGCACCGAUGAAAAUAAACCUACAGAAAAAAAAUUGAAGUAAAGAUAAAAUCAAGUGGUGGAUGUAGCACAUAAUACAUAAAUUUGAUGAUCAAGGAAUAUCAUCAAAUUUCAGGAUAAUUUGUAGUACUGUCUUACUAGUUCUGACUUGAAAGGAAUUUGGCACUCAAUACAAAAUGAUAGCAUUGCAGGUAGUAGUCAUGGCAGUGGAACUUAAAUUUCCAACUGAAGUGCACUUAAUUUGCUUCAUAUUUAAGUGCACAGCGUUGUUUUCUUGUGUUCUUCUAGUUUGAAUGGCAUUGUUUCUGUUGUGCUGCAUAGAAAACUCAAAUUGCUAUGAAAUACAGAAGUUACUCACCAGUACUGUAUCUUUGAGUUCAUUAGUUUUUGGUUUUCUAAACAAUUAAGACAAUCAGCUCAGGUUUAUUAAAACAGCAGAGUGAGCAGCCAGUUUCCAGCAACAGUAUGUGUGUGGGUUAGAUGGUAUAUCCUUGGCCUUAUUGUGAAAUCACUUAAUCUGUCUUUCCCCUAUCUCAGAACUAUUUUAAUACAUUUAUUUGUUUAAAAAAAAAAAUCCAUGAGCUUGUAUUCUGUGCUUUGAAGUAAGCUAAAUAUUCUUCUAAAGUAUGACAGUUCUCCUUCAGCUCAGCAGAGCAAACCGUAUGCCUAGUAUGUAAUUUUUUUGGCCUCAAAGGGCUGUCUUUCAGAAAACUUGCAGAAAAGUGCUACAGAACACUUAAUAGCAUGGAAGACGUUGCAACAAAGAAGUUGUUGCUCUGUAAAAUGUUGAUAAAAUGCUUACUCAUGAGAGAUGCUGAUGCUGAUUUAGGUUGCUGAUAAAGUAUGCUGGUAAAGCAAACUAAAAAUAUUUUUUAAAGUGCCUUAAAGUUGCUUAAUCUUUUGCCUCAAAUUCUUUUUGAAAGGGUAGAAAGGAUACCUUGCCUUAGUUACAAAAUUUUGCUUGGUGCCAGCAAUUGCUACUUUCCAAAACUUUAGGAAACCCAGGAUCUCUGACACAUACAGAUGCCAAUCUGAAAAACUCAAGCUGGUACUGUAUUAAUUUAGUCACGUUCUGGAAGGCCUGCACUACACACUGCUUGCUCAUUAGCCUUGCUAACAAGGUAUGAUCCACAGUUCGCAGAGUUGUGGCUUGCAUAGUUUCCCUUUCAGUUCUUUGGGGGGAGGGGAGGCUGGGUUAUACAUCUUCACCAUGUGCUUGGCUGCCUCACUAUAGAAAAUACAGAAAGUAUCAGCUGAUCUGUGCUGUGUACUGGCAAUAAACCUGAAGUAACAACUUGCAGUUUUUAUUGGCCUUGUGUUUUGAAGUGGAAGGUAGCUCAUAGAUCUGUAGUUGUAUUUGCCCCUAAAUCAAUUUUAGGCACUGAACUGUAGUGACUCUUCAAGUUAUCUGGCUCUUUCUUGAAGCCGACUUGUGCAAAUAUCAAGCUGUUAUGUUAUGAAUGUUCUCUGCAAGUGUUGCUGUAAAAGUUUGUAUUUUGUCUUUGGAAGAAAACUGAAACAGUUGUAAUCACAAAACCAAAUUGUUAAAUAAAAUCUGUUGAAUGGAA
rnacentral:lncRNA from 1 species